rnacentral:piRNA from 1 species
UGAUUUCUGUGACUGAUUUAAAAUGCUU